UACAGAGGUCCCAAGCGUUGUUCGGAUUCACUGGGCGUAAAGGGUGCGUAGGUGGUUGGGAAAGUUUGAUGUGAAAGCUCGGAGCUUAACUCCGAAAUGGCAUUGAAUACUUCUUAACUUGAGGGUCGGAGGGGAGACUGGAAUUCUCGGUGUAGCAGUGAAAUGCGUAGAUAUCGAGAGGAACACCAGUGGCGAAGGCGAGUCUCUGGGACGACUCCCUGACGACUG
rnacentral:rRNA from 1 species